rnacentral:rRNA from 1 species
CACGUAGGCACCAAGCGUUGUCCGGAUUUAUUGGGCGUAAAGAGCUCGUAGGCUGUUCGGUAAGUCGGGUGUGAAAACUUUGGGCUCAACCCAAAGCGUGCACUCGAUACUGCCAUGACUAGAGUUCGGUAGGGGAGUGGGGAAUUCCUAGUGUAGCGGUGAAAUGCGCAGAUAUUAGGAGGAACACCGGUGGCGAAGGCGCCACUCUGGGCCGAAACUGACGCUGAGGAGCGAAAGCGUGGGUAGCAAACAGG